AUUGAACGCUGGCGGCAGGCCUAACACAUGCAAGUCGAGCGGAUGAAGGGAGCUUGCUCCUGGAUUCAGCGGCGGACGGGUGAGUAAUGCCUAGGAAUCUGCCUGGUAGUGGGGGAUAACGUCCGGAAACGGGCGCUAAUACCGCAUACGUCCUGAGGGAGAAAGUGGGGGAUCUUCGGACCUCACGCUAUCAGAUGAGCCUAGGUCGGAUUAGCUAGUUGGUGGGGUAAAGGCCUACCAAGGCGACGAUCCGUAACUGGUCUGAGAGGAUGAUCAGUCACACUGGAACUGAGACAUGGUCCAGACUCCUACGGGAGGCAGCAGUGGGGAAUAUUGGACAAUGGGCGAAAGCCUGAUCCAGCCAUGCCGCGUGUGUGAAGAAGGUCUUCGGAUUGUAAAGCACUUUAAGUUGGGAGGAAGGGCAGUAAGUUAAUACCUUGCUGUUUUGACGUUACCAACAGAAUAAGCACCGGCUAACUUCGUG
rnacentral:rRNA from 1 species